CAGGGAGCAUGCUAAAGACCUGCAGCUAUUUGCCUUGUACAAUUUGCUCAUUUCUCUUUAUUUCUCUGUUUUCCUGCACUCAUCACUUAAAGGACAACCUUUCUUGCAAACAAAAUCCCUGGAGCCUGAUUAGAGGGACUGAAGGCUCCCAGACACGGAUUGCCUGCCAGCCACAGCACGGCGAAGCGGGCGCGGCAGGAGGCGGAGCGGGCCGCCGCACGUCCCCCGGCCGGCCGGCCGGCCCCCCCGCCAUGGGUCGGAAGCGCUGCGUGGGGGGAGACGGCUCCAAGAUGGCGGCGGGUUGCUGCGGGGUGAAGAAGCAGAAACUCUCCAGCUCCCCUCCCUCGGGCUCGGCCGGCCCGGGCGGCGGCGGUGGCGGCUCCCACUGCGGCGGGGCGGCGGCGGCGGGGGGCGAGCCGGCCGCCGGCCUCUCCCCGCCGGCCUCCUCGCUGCUCGCCUCCCCCGGCUCCGGCGGGCCCGGCUGCAGGAAGAUGGUGGUGUCGGCCGAGAUGUGCUGCUUCUGCUUCGAUGUGCUUUACUGUCACCUGUACGGAUACCAGCCCCCGCGGAGCCCCCGCUUCACCAACGACCCAUACCCGCUGUUUGUAACGUGGAAGAUCGGUCGAGAUAAGCGAUUGCGAGGAUGCAUAGGUACUUUUUCUGCCAUGAACCUGCAUUCAGGACUCAGGGAGUACACACUUACUAGGUGCUUCCAAUCAGCUGCAGUUAAUUUAAUGCUACAAAUUUCCAUUACAUGUUACUCUUCAGAUGCAUCCCAGCCCCUGAGUGGGAAGCUUCUGGAUGAGGGAGUGCCCUUAAAGAUAGUCGUUUCCCCCCCAUGACGAGGGAUGAGCUGCCACGGCUUUUCUGCUCAGUGUCUCUACUCACUAACUUUGAAGAUGUGUGUGACUACAUGGAUUGGGAGGUGGGUGUGCAUGGCAUUAGAAUAGAGUUCAUCAACGAGAAAGGAUCCAAGCGCACGGCCACCUACUUACCGGAGGUCGCCAAGGAGCAAGGAUGGGACCACAUUCAAACCAUAGAUUCCUUGUUGAGGAAAGGAGGCUACAAAGCUCCAAUUACUAAUGAAUUCAGGAAAACAAUAAAGCUAACCAGGUACCGCAGUGAGAAGAUGACGAUGAGCUACACAGAGUACCUUGCCCAUCGUCAGCAUCAUCACUUCCAGAAUGGUAUUGGGCACCCCCUUCCACCCUACAACCAUUAUUCCUGACACUGAGCCGCAUGACCAGUCACUGGACCUCUCUGCAGACCUCUUCCCAGGAGACCCUGCCCCUUCUUGGUCUAGCUAUCUCUAUUACUGUACCAUUUUAUGAUGAUAGUUUCCGUUGCCAUGUUGAGGCUCCUUGCUUGGUUCAGCUCAUCAUGGCAACGGGAGGGAAAACUGCAUUACUACAAAGAUCCCAUACCUUUUUAUUAUUGAUUCACUGCAGAUUUUUUUGCAGCAUAUACCCUUGGAUUUUUUAUGAAAAUUUAAAUUUCUACUUCGUUAACAUUGAAUUAUAUCAAUCAAGGCUUUCUGUAACUGUGGAUGGAAGGAAGAGUUUAAGGAUUGCAGUUAGGGAUGCUUUGCUUAGCAAAAAGGCAUUCAUGGCUUUUGCAUUAAUGGGUGUGAUAGGGAAUGAAACAUAUCAGAUUCAGGUAUUGAAGUAGACAAUGAAUUGCAUUUUCAUAACAUUCUUAAUGACGUUGUGUGUACAGUAUCUCACCUUCACAGUAAAGAUUCCAUGUAGCUCUGUACAGGAUCUCCAGAUCCAGCACAAACAGCCGGAGCACCAAGGCUGAUGUACAAAAAGCUUUUUUGGGAUGAAGAGAAGCAGCUCAUGUACAGCGAGAGGUGAUGUUAACAGGGCAGCAUUUUCAGAAUCAAGUGGCCUAAAUGAUUUGGGCACAAUCCAGUCCAGGACCCUUUUGUGUCCCAUCCUGUGCUGGGAAUCACAGGCAGCCCAGGCCUGUCAGGAGUAGCCACAAGAAUGCAUUUGUAAUGAGACAAUGCCUUUCUGAUGACUCAAAUUAGGAGUGACAUUUGUGUCCUAAAACAGAUUGGUGAGUAGCAGAUGUCAUAUUAGGAAGGAAAUGGAUUUAGAUUUUAGUGCCUUUGACUAUAACAUAAUUAUAUACUUAUAUAUAAAAUUCAUAGAAAACAUAUACUCCAGACAUUUUAGCAAACCCUGUUGAGGCUGCUCUGGCAUCAGGGUUUUGGACACGUUUUUUUCUCUUUAAAAUGAGAUUUACUUUUUUAUUAUCAUUAUUAUUAUUAGCAAACUUAUUUUGGAAAAGAGAAAUCCCUGUUUUGUUCUUCAUCUGCUCUUGAACUUACUGAGUUUUAUCAAGUCAUGAAUAGUUGGAUCAAGUUAACUUUGGUUUAAUAAAAGAAAAAAGACUGUUGUGAGAGAGGCAGGACAAGUAUGCCAUAAUGUUACAUGUUUUCAUCUAUUGCAGGAAUAGUGCUUGAGAGCUGUAAGUACUGUGUAAUAAUUCUGAUACCCCUCCACACGGUAGAAGAAAGAAAACCGAUUGGAACUUUUUCCUGCUGUAAAAAUAGGAUUUAGUAAAAGGUAUGUGUGGUCUGUUUGCAAGGCCAGUCCCUGGCAGGAGCUCACUGCUUCCUCCUGUGCCUGCAGAGCUCCCACUGCUGCCUGUUGCAGCACAGGCCACCUGUUACAGAAAAGACCUUCCUAAUCUGAGUGAGUAAACCACAGUAAGCAGAAAUUCCAGUUACUUUGAAUAAUGAAUGUUUGUAAAUACGUAGAUAUAUAAAAAUCAAAUAGAUAAAAUUCAGUUUAAAAAAAUUGGAUCAACUGUAAAAGUGUUUCAAUAGGGUUUCAUAGUCAGAUAAGGAUAAAUUAUGCUCAUCCCUUAUGUGAGGUUAGGUCUGCCACUUAAUUUUUAUGGAGGUUCUUGUAGAAGGUCUUUGGUAUUCCUUCAUCCACAGCAUUUAUGUCCAAAUAUUACCAUUUUCAGUUGCGAUGCCUUAAUUUUUAAGCAGAGGGCCUGAAAUUUCAGGAGCCAAGAGAUGCCAGCCAGAAGCUGCAAAAAUGAGUAGAUGUUUAUACAGAGGCUAUUUUGGAUGAUACUGUUGUCUUGUUUCUACUUGGGGAACACUUUUAGAUUAAUUAGUCUUCAAGUGGAAAUGUGAACAAGUGGCUACCUGAUAGAGUUGUGUUGGUUUUUUUUCUUGCCCUUAUAGGGAACCUGAGCACAAACUGAAUCAUUCUGCUGCGAAAAAAAGUCAUCCAACCCCAUCUUUAUCUGUCAUCUCGUUACAGCUCGCUCGUGCUUCUGCAUGAGCUCAUUGUUAGAAGUUUUUUAAAAAGAUCUAUUAUAUAUAAAAAUAUAUAUGUAUUGAAAGGUGCUAAUCAACCUCAAGAAGGUCACGUGACUGGUCAUGCGGAUCUAAAAUCAUAUCAGAUUUUUUAAGAAAUCUUCGAUAUAUGCAGAUGUUAUACAGAAUUUCUUACCAGUGUAAUAAUGAUAUACUGAUGAAUAAACAAUCCUGCAGGAUUUUAAGGACAAGGUCAGCAAUACUUCCCACCAUGGCUUGGGGGAGAAAAGGAUAGUUUUGUCUCCUUUUUGUAUACAGCAUAAUGCACAAUGCAUUUUUGUCUAUCUCUUAGUAGCUGUUGCUUAAAAACAUAGUUCAAGGGUGUUAUACAAACUGUAAAGGUGUGCUUUUGAACUGAGCUCAUGCCAGACCCUUCUGGACCAGAGUUUUGUAUCACUAAUUUAAAAACUGUUACAGAGUCUGUGGUCAAUCAGAUUGUAUGAUUUUUUUUUAAAAGAUUGGAAUAAUCAGUCUACCUACAGUGUUUCUAGGGCACCUACCUCCUCAGCACACUGUGCUGAACUCUGCUGCAGAUUAUUUCUCUGUAAUUGUGGGAUUCUUUGUACCAAACAUGCAGCUCACUGUGACAUGCACUGGCACAGAAUAGGUCUAUUUGCUUAAAGCUAAUCAGCAAUUGCUCUCACAAAUGUCAUUCCCUCGUAGUUACAUUUAGUAGCUUUUAGCUGUAUUGUUGGGGUUACAGAUUAGCUUUUCCUUUGGGGUACUUUAUAGAAAUUAAGGUACAACCAAGUAGCUUAUUUCACUGUUUGUUAAGUUGAAAAGCUGAUUUAUUUUUUUUUAUAAGCACUACUCAGUUUGCCUUAUUCCAUUGAAGAGGUUGUUGGGUUUUUUUUUCAUUCUCUUGCCUAAUGUUCCUAAAAACUCUGUUCUGUAAACUGAGUUAGACAACCAAACCAUAGACUUGACACGAAGCUGUUACUUGGUGAUGCUUCAAGUGUCCUUCCUGCUGCCACGGCAGCGGCUGCUGCUCCGGCAGGGGUGGACGCUCCGGUCCUGACCUCAGCCCCGCUCUGGAGCCAAGGUGGGCACAGCCCUGGCACACCUGGAGUUUGUAUAUGGACCUCUACUUGUCUUCAACUGUGCGGGUUUUUAAAGCUGUUGUCUGGAGUAGGUUACAUCUCUUAUGUGUGUUAGAUCGAACCAAAGAAGCCUCCAGCCAUGCCCAAAUGCUGCUCCUAAAGCCUGCCUUCCAGUCCUUACAAAAUCCCUGCAGGAUUAAAUGUGUUAACUUUUUUAUUUUUGUACAGUUUCUAACUGAUUUUUGCUAGUGAUGUUAAUUGAAUUAAGUUUAUUUGGGGAGUCUGAGUAUCUCCUCCAUUUAAAUAAACUGGUGACUUUCAUUUUAUGUUAAAAAAAGAAAAAAAAGCUAAAAAAAAAAAAAGAGAAACCCAAAGUGUGCCUCUCAGAUUUAAGGGUUUCUGAUUACAUUUAUUCUUAAGACCAGCAAUGAUUCUUUAUAUACAAAGAUAUGUUUUCCUCAUUUUUUAUUACUGUUAAAGAAAAAAAAUAAAAAAGAAAAACCUCUUUCUUUGCUCUGGACUCAGUAAUUGCGCUGGUACAUAAACGCACUGAGAAAACAAACUUUUGUUUGAAACUUUUGUAACAACUUAUGACUGUUUUGUAUAUCAAAGUUGAUUCUUUUCCAGAUAUUUGGAUCUAGUUUCUAAGUUAUUUUAGUGUUUUAUAUGUUACAAAGAAAAAAAAACAAACUUACUUUAAAUUGUUCACCAGCAUCUUGAGUUAUCUUCAAUGCCAUGGUGACACACAGUGGGCUUAGAGCUACCUGGAGUAGCUUGUAAGGCCUGGGUCUUUUCCUUCCUUCCUUAGCAACUCAAUUGAUUGCAGUAAUAUCACAGAUUACCUGAACCCCCUUCCUUUAUAACUAGAUCCUUCUUCCUUCCACAUUUAAUUGCUAUUAGUGUGAAGAAACUGUUGAAAUGGGCAUUUUAAUAUAAGUACGGCUUAAAAAGAGAAAAAUGAGGAAAAAGAAAAAAAAAAUGCUAGAAGGUUAUCUGUGGGUCUGUGAGAUAUGGCUGUGGAAAGAUAUUGUAGUAGUUUUAACACUAUUGUUAUUACCUUUUAAAUCAUUUACCCAAUAAAAUAAGGAAAAAGAA